UACGUAGGGGGCAAGCGUUGUCCGGAUUUAUUGGGCGUAAAGAGCGUGUAGGCGGUUAUGUAGGUCCGUUGUGAAAACUCGAGGCUCAACCUCGAGACGCCGAUGGAAACCAUCUGACUAGAGUCCGGAAGAGGAGAGUGGAAUUCCUGGUGUAGCGGUGAAAUGCGCAGAUAUCAGGAAGAACACCCGUGGCUAAGGCGACUCUCUAGUACGGUACUGACGCUGAGACGCGAAGGCGUGGGGAGCAAACAGG
rnacentral:rRNA from 1 species